UUUAUUGGAGAGUUUGAUCCUGGCUCAGGAUGAACGCUGGCGGCGUGCCUAAUACAUGCAAGUCGAGCGAAUGGAUUAAGAGCUUGCUCUUAUGAAGUUAGCGGCGGACGGGUGAGUAACACGUGGGUAACCUGCCCAUAAGACUGGGAUAACUCCGGGAAACCGGGGCUAAUACCGGAUAACAUUUUGAACCGCAUGGUUCGAAAUUGAAAGGCGGCUUCGGCUGUCACUUAUGGAUGGACCCGCGUCGCAUUAGCUAGUUGGUGAGGUAACGGCUCACCAAGGCAACGAUGCGUAGCCGACCUGAGAGGGUGAUCGGCCACACUGGGACUGAGACACGGCC
rnacentral:rRNA from 1 species